UAAGGAAUAUUGCGCAAUGGACGAAAGUCUGACGCAGCGACGCCGCGUGGGGGAUGAAGGUCUUCGGAUUGUAAACCCCUUUCGGCAGGGAAGAUGGAACGGGUAACCGUUCGGACGGUACCUGCAGAAGCAGCCACGGCUAACUUCGUGCCAGCAGCCGCGGUAAUACGAAGGUGGCAAGCGUUGUUCGGAUUCACUGGGCGUACAGGGAGCGUAGGCGGUUGGGUAAGCCCUCCGUGAAAUCUCCGGGCCUAACCCGGAAAGUGCAGAGGGGACUGCUCGGCUAGAGGAUGGGAGAGGAGCGCGGAAUUCCCGGUGUAGCGGUGAAAUGCGUAGAGAUCGGGAGGAAGGCCGGUGGCGAAGGCGGCGCUCUGGAACAUUUCUGACGCUGAGGCUCGAAAGCGUGGGGAGCAAACAGGAUUAGAUACCCUGGUAGUCCACGCCUUAAACUAUGGAUACUAAGUGUCGGCGGGUUACCGCCGGUGCCGCAGCUAACGCAGUAAGUAUCCCGCCUGGGAAGUACGGCCGCAAGGUUG
rnacentral:rRNA from 1 species